rnacentral:lncRNA from 1 species
CUAGUUUGUUGUAUUUUUUAGAUGCCACAUAUGUGAGGCCAUGCAAUAUUUGUCUUUCUCUGUCUGAUUUAUUUCACUUAUCAUAAUACACUCCAGGCCCAUCCAUGUGGCUGCAAAUGGCAACAUUUCAUUCUUUUUUCUGGAUGAGUAGUAUUCCAUUAUAUAUAUAUAUCACAUCUUCUUUAUUCAUUCAUCUAUUGAUGGAUAGCUGGGUUGCUUCCCUAUCUUGGCAAUUGUAAAUAAUGCUGCUAUGAAUACUAAGGUGCAUGUUCCUUUUCAAAUUAUGUUUUUUUGGGGGGAGUGAUAUUGCUGAGUCAUAUGAGAGUUUUUAGUUUUUUAAUAAACCUCUUUUUCUUCAUUCUUCAUGGGCAAUCCCUGGGCAACCCAUGCAAAUUCCGUCUCUAAGACCCAUCACUCUACACUGUACAAUGUGGGGAAGAAAGCCGAUAUUUUGCAAUACCUAUAAGUGGAAAAUAAGCUUUAGAAAUUGUGAGUCAUGGGAGUUCCCUGGUGGUCUCAUGGUUAGGAUUUAGCACCUUCACCACCGCAGCCUGGGUUCAAUUCCUGGCCUGGGAACUGAGAUCCCACAUCAAGCUGCUGUAUGCAGCGGCCAACAGAAAAAAGAGAAAAAAAAUUGUGAAUCACCAUAUUGUAUACUUGUAACCUGUAAUAGAGUACAACAACUGUAAUUCAAUUUAAAAAAUGAAUAAAAUAUUAAAUAAAUUAAAUGCAUCACACAUCUACCCAUCUUUCUAUCUCUAUUGCUGAUGCCCUGAUCCAAGCUAUCAUGUGUUUUACUGGAUCAUGAUAGGAGAUCUCUGAUUUCUUCCCUCUCUUCUUCCAUUCAGGACUGUAAGAAAAGCAUUUUAGGAAUUGAAAAGAGAGUGCACAUGUUACAGCCAGUUGCAAGGGUCCAAGAAGACCUCCUGAAGGAGAUCUGAGUGAUGGAUAGGACAGGAAUACAACCGGCAUGAAGGGAAAGAGGAGCGGGGUAUGGCAACCGACAUGCCAAGAACAGCCGGGAACAGAAUGAACAGGCACCUGUUGGGUGGCCCUGAGGACCAGGCAAUGUCCCUCCUCCCUGUGGAAAGAGUUUGACUGGUGGACUUGGCUCUUAUUAAAAACGAUGCCCUGAGUUAACAUGUUCCUAUUCAAGUUAUUCUAUCUUUUUCUUUGUGGCCACACCCACAGCAUAUGGAAGUUCCCUGGCCAAAUUCGAGCCACAGCUGUGACCUACACCACAGCUGCAGCGACACUGGACCCUUUUAACCCACUGCCCUGGGGCCGGGGGAUGGAACCAGCACCUCUGCAGCAACCCAAGCCACGGAAGUCAGAUUCUUGACCCACUGUGCCACAGUGGGAACUCUGAGUUAGUCAAUCUUAAAAUGAUCACUGUUCAACUCUCAACCAAGCAAUCUGUGAGUAAUUUCAUGUGUCUCUUUUACUGCGUAGACAAGAUCUUGUUCACAGCUCUUGGUAACUGCUACUCCUGCUUUCAGUGAUAUACUUGCUGAUGAGGAAGAAGUAAUCUAAGCAGUUUCAGGCUUGAUUUGAAACAACCGUGGAUUUAUCCAUGAAGUCUCUUUUAGCCAAAACAGAGUAGGCUUUCUUCGUAACAUGGUUUCUCCAGUAAGUUAUUUUGCAUGUGACAAAUUUACCAGUGGCUCUUCCAAGGGGGGUUUUUUAACUGAAAAAUAAAUGAUGCAAAAUCAAGUAGGUUUGCUUAUGGUUCAAAAAUUUUAAAUGAAUCCUUAUAAAUCAGGUAGAAAUACUGUUCUUUGCUCCUCCUCAUCACCAAAGACAGUUGCCCAUUAUCCUGGUUUUCUGAAAGGAAAACCAAACUGUCCAAGGGAAAAAAAAAACCAUGUUAAUCAUUUGAAGCGCUACGUUCCUAUGAAACCUAUGGAUGAAAACCCAGAGAGGGACAAUUCCUUUAUCCUCAGGCUCAAGCAAAAUCUUGAUGUUUCUCUUCUGAGUGCUCAAUGCCUUGUUCUCGGAGCUGCCUGGCGGGGCUGGGGUCGGGGGGAGCUUGCAAAGAGACACACAACCCUCUGCCAGCAUGGAAGGGUGAUAGUGGGGGAAUUUGCAGAGCUACAGAGUGAGUAGGCAUGCUAUGCAUGCACACCCCUCCACACACACAUCCUUUACAAAUAUGGAGGAGUUCCUGUCAUGGCGCUUCGGAAACGAAUCCGACCAGGAACCAUGAGGUCACGGGUUUGAUCCCUGGCCUCGCUCAGUGGGUUAAGGAUCCGGCGUUGCCGUGAGCUGUGGUGCAGGUCGCAGACGCGGCUCAGAUCCCUCGUUGCUGUGGCUGUGGUGUAGGCUGGCGGCUACAGCUUCAAUUAGACCUCUAGUCUGGGGAGUGCAGCCCCCCAAAAAAGCAAAAAAAAACAAAAAACACAGAGGUACCUAGAAAACCAUUAGGUCUUAGGAUACAUAUAACCACAGAAAGCCAGCUAGCAAGUACACAGAGAUAAAUAGCAAGUGAGCAGCAGAGAAGAUGGUUUCUAUGCAAAAAGCAGCUAAGGAAUGACUCCCCUGAGUUUUUCUUGUAAAGAAAUCCAUAAGCCAGGUAAUAGUGCACGAGCCCUGGACUCUAAAUAGUGUUGUAGAGAUUAGAAAUAUAGAGAAAUGGAUGCAUUUUAAGCUCCUGGGAAAAAAAAAAAAAAAAGCUGUG